rnacentral:lncRNA from 1 species
UAAACCGCGGGUCCACAAAAAUUGGUUUUGCAAAUUAAUUGGUUUUUUUUUUUUUUUUUUAUAUUUCGUAGUUGUCAAACUGACUUGAAUGUUACUGUCACGAUACCGCAGCACAAAAUGUUUUAUUAUUCAGUUUGUUGCAUACAUUGAAAAGUCCGUUAGUCAAAGGUAUGACUAAAGAAGCUGUUGGAUAGUUUUCAUAACUCUUUUGAAAUUUAAGCACCUGAAUUAGUUUGCGACAGAUUUUCAAUUUCUAAGGAUGUCAGAAUUGAUAAAUCUAUAACAGCUACAAUACUAGUUAUGACAUCUUCAAGUAGCACGAACCUCUCAGCCAUAUGUGGAAUUCCAUCUAGUUGGACAUUCUUGAAUUAAUUUUAAUGAAUGCUGACUAGAAUUUUGUUGAUACGUACUGAGCUUUUCAGUUGAUUUACGUUUGAAAUAUGAUAGAAAUUUUUGAAAAAAUAAAAAUAGCAAGUUCACCAAUAGCUAAACUAUCCUUAAUUAUUAAAUUAAGAGUGUGUGCGAAAUAUCUAAAAUGUUUCCAACCAGUUUCCAUGCUCAAAGACUUUUUUAUUGAUGAGGUGUUAUCUGAUACUGCAAAAACUAUUCUUUGCCUAAUGCCUCAUUCGUCGACAAUUUUCAAAAUUUCUGCCGCUAAAUUUCCAUUGCUACGAUCGCUUUCAUGGCAACACACUGGAGUAACAUGGAGAUGAGUUCAAAGUUGUCAUUAAUAAAAUGUACUGUUAUACAUAUACAAAAUUUACCAUAUUUCUCAAGGUCCAAUUAUCCGUUGUUACACAUAUGCUUUUAGCAUUUGCUAUAAAGAUUUACAAUCGUUAAACAUUCUUCAAAUUUUGUAGAGAGCAAACUUUUGGAAAUUGUGUGUCUGCUCAGUAAAACGUAAUGGGGAUCAAGAGCUGCUGAAUAUUCGCUAAAGCCAAUAUCUUCAACGAUACUGAAAGGCUGCAAAUCGGUAAUAAACUUCCAUUAACUUGUCUGUUACAAAUUUAGUUUUUUAAUAAUCAAGCCUUUUAUGUGGUACCGUAUACAGUAUCAGGAAAACUAAG